GCAGUUCCUCACCUACCUUCUCUGCUCACCGCUGUGUGCUAGCAAUCGGAGGACCCUUGGCACACGGAGCGACAGGGGCCUCCCCCACAGACACCUCAUUUUGGGAAAGAAGUUCUAGAAUGUACUAGCUCCGAAACCUCAGGCAAGUUAAAUGUUUUUGUGCUUCAUUUUCCUAAUCCACAAAGUGGCAAUAGAAGAAUUUAUCUCUUUAGGUUUUGUCUUGAGGAUUAAAACCGUUAAUACUUAGAGCUGUGCCUGGUAAAUGGCAAGCCUUUAUAUUAAGAUCUGGACCGUUCUGUGCUUUGAAGUGUAUGACCUAAAGCAGAUGUAGGCAUUCUAUAAGUAACACUAGCAUAAAGGUGUAUGGUAAAUUCUAGAGGUGAAAACACUCCCAACAUAUUUUAGGUCUGAUCAUUUAAUUUUGAGGUAAUUUCUGAAAGGGCUAGAGGAGAAAGUGACAUUUAAGUUGUGUUUGAUAAAUGAUAGUAUUUUAACUGGCCAGCCUCUUGGGGGAAGUGCAUUCGGAAUGGCUUGAUCAAAGGCUCAAGAAGCCCAAGGUGCAUUUGGAAAA
rnacentral:lncRNA from 1 species